GCCGACUGACAGAGCUACUUUGACGACAAUUAUCUCCUAAACCAGCACGAACCAGGAGAUGAUGUAGUUGACAAACUUGGAGUACUAGCCGAUAUCUACAACUUUGCCAACUGGAGCAAAAGCUAGAUCGGCCUGGGUUGAGAGAUAUAGAGUUUCCAAAAUCGAUCGAGCAAACUAGUUUCGUUCCAAGACUUAGAAAUUUUUCUAAGUGUUGGAAACAGCCCCAAAUCUGCCUUGUGGGUCACUUUUGAGCUAUUUGUGUCAUUUUCAUGAGAUGGCCAUCAAACAACUUUUAUUCCUUAUAAAAUUUGCUACAACUUUGCUGUAGGAAGUUUUGACAUGCAAACAUUUUAUGCAACACUUUUUAAAAGCCUAAGCAAAGAGGUUUCUAGGGCCUAUUUACACAAAUAUGACUUAAAGGCAUAUUUUGGAGAAGUGAUCAACAUGAACAUUGUUCCCAAGGUUAAGUUAAGCCUAGAUAAACUAAUUACCAAAGCAUAGAGCACAAACACAAGCAUGGUUCACUCAAACAUAAGCAUAGGAAGCCUAUUUAAGCAAUUUAAAACACAAUUUUGCAAAGAAUGACAUGGCUCAAGAUAGAUGAUGAUCAUGAUAUGCUUUGAGUGGAUGAUGAUGCUCAUGCUAUGCACAUGAUCAAUGCAACCAUAACACUGCGUGCUACAGUUUUCGUCUUGCUUUCCCGAAAAAGAUAGGUUUUGAAUCAUAGCAAUCAACCUAGAACUUAAACUAUACUGGGAUGUUUGGAUAGGCUGUGAUGACUCCCAUGGUAAAAGGUUAGUUUACAGAAGGGAUUGCAGAUUCAUGGAUUGAUUUAGAAUCUUGGUUUUCCAUAAGGUAAGAAUAAAAAAAAUAAAUAAAGAAUAUAAAAGAUAAGAAAAAAUAAAAGUAUAGAUACAAGCUAGUAGUAAGACUCAAGGUUAUCUCAGCAAACCGUGUUUCUCCACGGCAACGGCGCCAGAAAUGCUUGUUGAUAUUUGGGAACGCAAUAAGGAAUUGAUCCGCAAGCGCACGGAUAUCGGUGAGCACUUCACCCGGGAGGUUAUCCAGAGUAUCGUAUUUAUUUUUUUACCACUAGGAGAAAGAGUGCAUCUGACUAACCCGGUCUAUUACUACUAACCUUUAGGCUACAAAGAAUGUUUCUUGAUGUGAGAGAUAAAUAGAGAAGGCUACAAUUGUAAUAUCCUUCUAACCUUGGUAUGGAUGAUCUACUGUUCUAUUGGGGAAGCUUACGGAAUCUAGACACCACAAAGGAUGUUCAACCCACACCUAUAAACCCUAUCCUUCCUGCUAACGAGAUAUGGUCUGCAAAGGUAAAUCAAAAAUGUCACGUUCCUCGCGACUACCACGGUUUAGCUAGUCAGGGAAUAUAUAUAUGAGUAUCCUAGCCCAAACUCCACGUCUACACUAGAGAUGAUUACUCUAGACUCUACGCGAAGAGAUUAAAGUAAAGUCAUAAACCAAAGAACAAUAAAACAAGAACUUACUAGAAUUUAGAAGUCGAAAUACUGAAGAAUCCUAGGAGCAAGCUUUGGGUUAGGAGAACUUGAUCCCGCAGGUACAACCUCGGAGUAAACACCGAC
rnacentral:lncRNA from 1 species